rnacentral:rRNA from 1 species
GAUGAACGCUGGCGGCGUGCCUAAUACAUGCAAGUCGAGCGAAUGGAUUAAGAACUUGCUCUUAUGAAGUUAGCGGCGGACGGGUGAGUAACACGUGGGCAACCUGCCCUGUAGAUUGGGAUAACUCCGGGAGACCGGGGCUAAUACCGAAUAAUCCUUCGGACCUCAUGGUCCGACGUUGAAAGACGGCAUCUCGCUGUCACUACAGGAUGGGCCCGCGGCGCAUUACCUAGUUGGUGAGGUAACGGCUCACCAAGGCCACGAUGCGUAGCCGACCUGAGAGGGUGAUCGGCCACACUGGGACUGAGACACGGCCCAGACUCCUACGGGAGGCAGCAGUAGGGAAUCUUCCACAAUGGACGAAAGUCUGAUGGAGCAACGCCGCGUGAGUGAAGAAGGUUCUCGGAUCGUAAAACUCUGUUGUGAGGGAAGAACAAGUACCGGAGUAACUGCCGGUGCCUUGACGGUACCUCAUUAGAAAGCCACGGCUAACUACGUGCCAGCCGCCGCGGUAA